CCGGUUCCGGUUCACGCCCACGACAGUCGAGGGCGACCCGGCGACC
rfam:Rhodococcus sp. PBTS1, complete genome.